AUGAGGAAGAGUUGAUGCAAGAAAUUAGUAGUGAAAAACAAAGGCAAAUAAUAAAUGUUAGUGGCAUUGGUACUAGUGCUUCAAAAAAACCAAAAGUUUUAUCACUCCAAAAUAGUAGAGGGCCUAUUGACUGUUAUUUUUCCCCUAGACCUGCUGUUAUGGGAAAAAAUAUAAAGCAAACUAUCAUUGAUGAAAAUAGUCCAACUAAAAAGGAGUUAAGGGAGCGUG
rnacentral:misc_RNA from 1 species